AUGGACCUUCAUCUUCUUCCCGGCGUGCAGAUCCUUCUCCAGGAAGAAGAGCGCGGCGCUGGGGUCGUCGUGCAGCUGCGUCUCCGUCGCGGCGUAGUUGUAUAUGAAAGGCGAGACGUUGACGUGGACAGGCUUGCCCCGGGGUUUGCCGCCUGGCUUGCCGUAGCCAGGCUUGACGUUGACGCCCACGCCGCCUUUGCCAACGCCGACCGUCGUGCCGCUGGGCUUGCCGCUGCCAGGUUUGACGUUGACGUCCACGCCGCCCUUGCCAACGCCCACGGUUGUGCCCCCGGGCUUGCCGUAGGCAGGCUUGACGUUGACACCCACGCCGCCCUUGCCGACGCCGACCGUAGUCCCGCCGGGCUUGGCGCUGCCAGGCUUGACGUUGACGCCGACGCCACCCUUGCCAACAUCGACCGUCGUGCCGCCGGGCAUCCCAUGACCCGCGUCGACAUGGACACCGCCCCAGCCGACGUUCACCGACGUGCCUCCGGCUGUGGAAAGCAGGGAGAGGCGGAGAAGGGUCAAUGCUUUCCCGUGUACCGAAGCUGUUUGCUUAAGAGAUGUAGAGUAGUAUACCUUGAUUGUUUAGGAGUUGAGAGAGGGAGCUUGGCAUAG
rnacentral:rRNA from 1 species